AGCGAGGGAGGGUCCACUAGUCCUAGGCUCCACUGGUCCUAGCGUCCAUUGGUCCUAGGCUCCACUGGUCCUAACCUCUUUAUAUUAUCUGAUGGUGUAUAUUACAACCCUAAACUGAAUUUGAAGUUCAAAGAUGAAUG